GCACGUGCACAUGAGGCGCGGUGGUCUCGGGCUCACCUGCACGCGCACGCGAGGGCCGCGGUGGUCUCGGGCUGCCGUGCACGUACACGCGAGGGCCGUGGUGGUCUCAGGCUGCCGUGCACGUGCACGCGAGGGCCGUGGUGGUCUCGGGCUGCCGUGCACGCACACGCGAGGGCCGCGGUGGUCUCGGGCUCCCGUGCACGCGCACGUGAGGGCCGCGGUGGUCUCGGGCUCCCGUGCACGCGCACGCGAGGGCCGUGGUGGUCUCGGGCUGCCGUGCACGCGCACGUGAGGGCCGUGGUGGUCUCGGGCGCACGCUCUAUCUGAACCCCUUGUUGCUCGGCAGAGGCUGGACCUGCUCCAGGGCUUGUGAUUCAGCAGGUCCCGACGGGGCCCUGGCGUCGGCCUUUCUGGUGUUAUUGUUCGUUUCUUGUUUAAGGUUUAUUUAUUUAUUCACUUCAAAGUCAGAAAGAGAGAGACGUCUUCUAGCUGGUGGGUCAUGCCACAUGUGCGCAGCAGCCAGGACUUAGGAACCCUGGCCAGGGCUCCCUGUGGGUGCAGGACCUCGAGCCCUAGAGCCGUCCUCCGCUGCCUCGCAGGCGCAUUAGCAGGGAGCGGGGGUGGAAGGGGAGUAGCUGGGACCUGAACUGGUGCUCGGGCACGGAAUGCAGGCCUCUCAAGUGGCAGUGGGGCCCGCUGCACUGUAGCACCCACCACUGGGGUUUGCGGGGUUUUUCUGUUUUUAAGAUUUAUUUAUUUAUUUAUUUGAAAGUUACACAGAAGAGAGGUGGAGAGAGAGAGAGAGGUCUUCCAUCCGAUGGUUCACUCCCCAGUUGGCUGCAAUGGCCCGAACUGCGCCCAUCCGAAGCCAGGAGCCAGGAGUUUCUCCCGGGUCUCCCACGCGGGUGCAGGGGCCCAAGGACCUGGGCCAUCUUCCACUGCUUUCCCAGGCCACAGCAGAGAGCUGGAUUGGAAGUGGAGCAGCCGGGACUGGAACCGGCGCCCAUGUGGGAUGCUGGUGCUUCAGGCCAGGGUGUUAACCCGCUGCGCCACAGCGCCGGCCUGGGAUUUGCAUUAACAGCACAGGCUGCAGACCCCUGGGACUCCUGAGGACUUUGCUGCUGGGUGGACGCA
rnacentral:lncRNA from 1 species